AGUGAACGCUGGCGGUAGGCCUAACACAUGCAAGUCGAACGGCAGCACAGUAAGAGCUUGCUCUUACGGGUGGCGAGUGGCGGACGGGUGAGGAAUACAUCGGAAUCUACUUUUUCGUGGGGGAUAACGUAGGGAAACUUACGCUAAUACCGCAUACGACCUACGGGUGAAAGCAGGGGAUCUUCGGACCUUGCGCGAUUGAAUGAGCCGAUGUCGGAUUAGCUAGUUGGCGGGGUAAAGGCCCACCAAGGCGACGAUCCGUAGCUGGUCUGAGAGGCUGGUCGGCCACACUGGAACGGAGACACGGUCCAGGCUCCUGCGGGAGGCAGCAGUGGGGAAUAUUGGGCAAGGGGCGCAAGCCUGAUCCAGCCAGACCGCGUGGGUGAAGAAGGCCUUCGGGUUGUAAAGCCCUUUUGUUGGGAAAGAAAAGCAGCAGGUUAAUACCCCGCUGUUCUGACGGUACCCAAAGAAUAAGCACCGGCUAACUUCGUG
rnacentral:rRNA from 1 species